rnacentral:rRNA from 1 species
ACGGGAGGCAGCAGUGAGGAAUAUUGGUCAAUGGACGAGAGUCUGAACCAGCCAAGUAGCGUGCAGGAUGACGGCCCUAUGGGUUGUAAACUGCUUUUGUACGGGAAUAAAGUGACCUACGUGUAGGUUUUUGCAUGUACCGUAAGAAUAAGGACCGGCUAAUUCCGUGCCAGCAGCCGCGGUAAUACGGAAGGUCCGGGCGUUAUCCGGAUUUAUUGGGUUUAAAGGGAGCGUAGGCGGGAUGUCAAGUCAGCUGUGAAAUGUAGUCGCUCAACGUCUGCACUGCAGUUGAAACUGGUGUUCUUGAGUGCGUAAGAGGCAGGUGGAAUUCGUCGUGUAGCGGUGAAAUGCAUAGAUAUGACGAAGAACUCCGAUUGCGAAGGCAGCCUGCUGGGCCGCUACUGACGCUGAAGCUCGAAGGUGCGGGUAUCAAACAGGAUUAGAUACCCUGGUA